UGCUGGCCCUCAAAAGGGGGCAUGUGCACGCUCUGUUUACAUAUCCACUCACACCUGUGCACCCUCUGUAGUUCUAUGGCCUUGGGACCCUGUCCCCUUGCUGUGGUCCUACAUCUUUACACACACACACCGUAUCAAAGUCUCAUGGAAUGUAUGUCGCGUUUAACGCAAUACAAUACAACUUUCAGCAACGGAUCUCUUGGCUCUCGCAUCGAUGAAGAACGCAGCGAAAUGCGAUAAGUAAUGUGAAUUGCAGAAUUCAGUGAAUCAUCGAAUCUUUGAACGCACCUUGCGCCCUUUGGCUAUUCCGAAGGGCAUGCCUGUUUGAGUAUCAUGAACACCUCAACUCUCAUGGUCUGCCAUGAUGAGCUUGGACUUUGGGGGUCUUGCUGGCUAACGUCGGCUCCUCUCAAAUGGAUCAGCUUGCCAGUGUUUGGUGGCAUCACGGGUGUGAUAACUAUCUACGCUUGUGGUUUCCCCCAUGUAACCUUCAGCAAUGGAGGUUCGCUGGAGCUCACAGAUGUCUCUCCUUGGGGAGGACAGCUUUUGAACGUUUGAUCUCAAAUCAGGUAGGACUACCCGCUGAACUNAAGCAUA
rnacentral:rRNA from 1 species